rnacentral:rRNA from 1 species
GCACCACAAGAGCGUGGAGUAUGUGGCUUAAUUUGACUCAACGCGGAAAAGCUUAUCUGGUCCGGACGCAGUGAGGAUUGACAGACAGUUUCAGGAGUGGUUCUUGGUAAACAAUUGAGAGAGUUGAAGUUCUUUCAUGAUCUUGUGAGAGGUGGUGCAUGGCCGUUCUUAGUUCGUGUAGUGAUAUGUCUGCCUAAUCGCGUCACGAUAACCUAUUGGUCGACAACCCAAUUAUCACAACUGCAGCAUAACUCCCCUUGGGUGGGCGAGGCUCUGUGUAGGAUAGACCUCUGAACAGUACGCAACGAACGCGAUCGUAAUCCCUUGUUGAGUGGCCAUCCUGUAAGCUGCUGGAUUAGGAACCCAGUGGUAUUAUCUCAGCCACAGAUUUUCUGGUUGUAAUGGGCCAUUUUGAAACUCGGGGAACAUCUGUGACUUUCUUUCUUAACGCA